rnacentral:piRNA from 1 species
AGUUAAAACAGUGAAUGCUCUGCCCAG